CACUUGAACGCCAGUCAAGGUUCUCGCCGUCACAAGACGGUGAGCGAAGAGGGAAUUCGGUGCGGUGCGCGAGCACCAAGGCCGAAGCUGUCCCCGCAACUGUAAGCGGCGAGCCGCCCGUCGAUCAGCGUCACUGGUGAGACAUCACCGGGAAGACCAGACGGAUGGCACCGACCCGCGAGCCAGGAGACCUGCCUCGACUGAAACGUAUCU
rnacentral:ncRNA from 2 species